UACGUAGGCAGCAAGCGUUGUUCGGAGUUACUGGGCGUAAAGGGCGUGUAGGCGGUUCUUUAAGUUUGGGGUGAAAUCUCCCGGCUCAACCGGGAGGGUGCGCCGAAUACUGAGGGACUAGAGUGUGGGAGAGGAAAGUGGAAUUCCUGGUGUAGCGGUGAAAUGCGUAGAUAUCUGGAGGAACACCGGUGGCGAAGGCGGCAUCCUGGACCGGCAUUGACGCUGAGGCGCGAAAGCCAGGGGAGCAAACGGG
rnacentral:rRNA from 1 species